GUGCUUGAUUCGGCAGCAUAUAUAUACUAAAAUUAGAACGAAACAAAGAAGAUUAGAAUUCCCCUGUGCAAGGAUGACGUUCAAAAACAAAAUGUCCCUGAAUUCUACAAAUUUAU